CUGAAGACGCGUUUUUGACGAUUAUCUUUAAUCGUUGCUUAUUGAUUCCACUCGCAAGAAUUUUAAGUUUAUAAAGCAGUAUGGAUAGCCAACAUUUUAAUGAUAUACAGUUUUAUUUAAAUGAUGAAGUCAUAAACAAUUACAUGGAUUUAAUUAAUAAACGUUAUUUAAACGUUUAUUGCUUUGAAACAUAUUUUUAUGUAAGUCUCUGUUCAAGAGGAUAUGAUGGUGUUAAACGUAUUGUAAAAAAACUAAAAUUUGAUUUAUUUUCAAAAAAAAAACUUUUAUUUCCUAUUCAUUUAAAAAGUCACUGGACCUUGGUCUGUGUAAACCUUGAAUCCAAAGAAGUUCAAUAUUAUGACAGUCUCCAAGGUCGUAAUAUUGCAAGUCAAGAGACUAUAUUCAAAUUUUUAAAUAACGCACAUCUCGAAAUUAAUGGAUCACCAUUAUAUGCAGAAGGUUGGAAACUAAUAACUGUACAAAAUAUCCCUUAUCAGAAGAAUGGGUAUGAUUGUGGAGUUUUUUUAUGUACCUAUGCUGAAUAUUUAGCAAGAGGUGUCACAUUCAAUUUUUCCCAGAAAAACAUGUUAUCGUUUAGACAAUUAAUUGCAUACGAGCUAACAGUGAAUAGGUUAGUGGAUGUAAAUGUCGAUGCAAAAGAUAUAGAUUCGUUCAUCAUGAGUGUUAUAAGCUCAUGAUAAAAAAUCUAUGUUGUAAAAAUUAAUUGUUAUACCCAUUGAUUUUCACUGGGAGUUAAUAUACUUAAUGUUGUCUAAACACUCUGAAUGAGUUUUUUUGUGAAAAGUUGAGUAUGAUACAACUGGUUGUGCUCAUUGCUCAGUAAAUAUUCAGCUUCAGUACAUGCCUAUAACCUAUAGGUUAUAACCAUUCUUUUGACAAGGGAUAUCAAACACAUCAAUAAAAUAUCAUACUAAAUUCCAAUUGAAUAUAGUAAUACACAUACAAGGAUCCAAUGAUUAUUGUUUUUUAAAUUAAUAGGAAAAGUUAUUUUUUUUUUUUAAAUUAUCAGAUUUUUUUUUUUUGUCAGACGUUUAACAGAGGAAUAGGCUUUCUUUUAGUGAGGUUUCAAUAAAAGAUGUGUCAAAUCAUAUAUAGUGUUUAAAGUAUGUGCUGUUAUCAGAUUCAUGUAAUUGUUUAUAACAUUAAUUGACAUUUAUCUAAAAUCAUUUUCCACAAAUGAUGCUAACACUGGAAAAAUUAGUUAUCAUUUGCAAAAACCAAAUUUUACAUCAAUGGUCAUCAUUGCGAUGUUCCAGUCAUACUUCUAGCCUUUGAAAAUUCCACAUAUGCAGGAUAACUAGUUUAUUCUGAGAACUCAUGGCUAGUAUCACAGACCAAUUUUCAUGUCGUAAAGUCGGUACAGUGAAGAAAAGAAGAAAACAUGACAUUUCAUUUCACUUUUUUUUAUCUGUUACGGUGAUGGUUCGUUGAUGUAUAUGUCCCUACAAAAAUAAUUUUCAUGAACUUAAUUCACACUUUGUUUAAUGCUUUAUCAACAAUCAUUAUUAAGUGCUAGUAAUUCUGCAAUUGGAUAGUAUUUAAUGAGUACUAAACUUGGAAUGUCUGACAUGUAUCUUGCUACAACCGUUACAGAACUAAGAAUUGUAGAAAAAAUUUAUUUAGCAUACUCAUGAUAUUCAUGGCAAUUUUAUUUGACGAAGAUUUUUGGUUGUGUGGUAUUGAACAGUGAACCACUAGUUUGAUUUCAAUUAUCCAUGAGUUUUCCAUUAGAAGACAUAGGUAAACUACAGCAAAUUAAAAUAAUUAGCCAAUUUUAAAUUUAUAUUUAUUGUUUUUAAUUAUUACCAGUAACCCAUUUUUUUUUUUUUAAGUAUCGAGCAA